rnacentral:rRNA from 1 species
UACGUAGGGUGCAAGCGUUGUCCGGAAUUAUUGGGCGUAAAGAGCUCGUAGGCGGUCUGUCGCGUCGGCUGUGAAAUCCCGGAGCUCAACUCCGGGUCUGCAGUCGAUACGGGCAAACUGGAGUACCGCAGGGGAGACUGGAAUUCCUGGUGUAGCGGUGAAAUGCGCAGAUAUCAGGAGGAACACCGGUGGCGAAGGCGGGUCUCUGGGCAGUAACUGACGCUGAGGAGCGAAAGCGUGGGGAGCGAACAGG